rnacentral:lncRNA from 1 species
UCAAACUCCGGCGAAGUGUCAUUACUAUCUGUCUGGAAAGAAAUGUAAUGUUUUGCAUAAAUAAUGAGGCUGCUGGUGUUUGUCCUGAACGAACCUUUGAUUUCACUCCACGCCGCACUGGUGUAGAUGAAGAGAAAAUUACGUGUGGUGCUGGGGAGUUCAGAUUCAGGAUUGUCUGGUCCUUGAUGGACUUUAGGCUGUAAUCCUGUGACUUGGUAAACUUAGUUCUGAUGUAAUGAAGUGAUGCAAUGAUGUAGUGAACUAUGUUAAUCGUGAUGUAAUAAUGUGGUGCACUAAGUUAUAUUAUUGUUAUUAAGUAACUUGAUGGAUUAUAAGUAAUGAGUAGCGAACUAAGUUAUUAUAUAUUAUGCUGGCUUGUUAUACCAAAUUUGUUGGCUUAAUUUUUUGGCAUAAUUAAAGAAGAUUAGUGCACUUGGUGUUUUGUUAGACAUGUAUUAGGCGGAAAUACGAACAUUUGUCACUGUUAAGGGACAUUUCUACCAUAUUUAUCUGUGGUUUGUAUUGAUUGCUCAUGGUCACGUCUGUGUUAUCUAAAUGUCCUGAAAAUUUAAUUAUUUGGAAGAUGGCUUUGCAUUGUGUUUGGUUGCUGUUAUUCGGAACUAACUUCUGAAGCACAACCUGGGUUCAACGAGGAAGGCAGGAGACACCUUCAUGUUAUCAGUCCUGGACCACAUGUUUUUUGGGAAGGAGUGUAUUUCAUGAGAAAGUGGCUUCAUUUUUUGAUCCAUGUUGCCUGUUCAAGCCAAUACAAAAUCUGCUGGUACAUAAGAAAUUUGAGGAUCUUUACAAAAGAAACGAUCUUCAAGACACCAUGCCACCAGAGGUACUUUUUUUACCCAUGUUCUCUUUUAUAAACUGUGUUCGGUUCUGGGCUUCUGGCAAUGCUUCCACAUAUGCAUAUGUGGAUAUGCUAAUUGACGACAUCUGUGUUGAUUUUCUGCUAAAUCAAGUAUAUUACCUAGGGCAUACAUUUAUUUUCCCAGUAAAUCAAGUAUAUUACCUAGUGCCUUUCCUGUCAUACGCGAAUGUGAACAAUUCAUGAUUUUUACAGUAUAUGAUUUUGCUCUUAAGUUAUGUAUGAGUGUAAUCUCUUGUUCUAAAUAGUGUGUGAAGUUGGUGGUGACGACAAAUGCACUGGAAAAUGUUGGAAUUGCUAACUUGGAUACAUGGAUUUAGCACGAUGAGAGGAUAAAGGUCAGUAUGUUGUAAUAUAUGCCAUUUCAAUCUGAACUUCUGAAUGAUUGCCAUCUCUACCUCAAAAAACCGUUGGUUGUAACACUCUUGAUGGUUUGGCUCUACUAGCUGUUUUGAACGCAUUGACGAGCACCAAGAGGCAUGAUUCUCCUGACCAUAGUUUAAGAAACAAUCAACAUUUGAUCGAUUUUCUGUGAAUCAUUAUUUAAACAGCACAAAACAAAAGGUUCAUGCUGUCUUUUGUUCUUGCACACCUUGAGGGCAGUUAUGAAACCAGUGGACUGGUAACAAUUGAAGAUGGCAACUUCAAAUAAAGUGGAUUGGGAUCACGUAUCUUCAGGGCCAGUAAAUAAAUUUGGAGUUAUAGAACAUCAGAAUUAUAAUACGUUGAGCAUGAACUGAAAACCUGAAAUAGUAUAGAACAGAACAUCACAGCAAACCUGAGAUUGACAUUGGUUAAUGCUUUCUUCACGGCACUGCAACUUAUUUCCUCCCUGAUUUUGCUCCAAUCAAAUGGAAAACCAAGAGAAUGGACAAGAAAUUUUCUUUGGAACGUGGAUGAGGAGGCUAAGGGGAGGAAAUGUCCCGUGAAUUGGCGCUCUGUUUGCUCCCCCAAGAAUGCCGGUGGUUUGGGCAUCAAGGACACUGCUUGUGUUAGUAGAGCAUUGUACCUGCUUGUUUUAGUUUGGGCAUCAAGAUACCUUGGUCUGGCAGCCCUACCCCCUGUGAUAAUUAUUGAUAAAAGGCAUAAAGCUAUAUGUUCUCUGUUUGCACUGUUGCACACACAUUGAGCUUGGUGAUGCAGCUAAAGUGGGUUUUUGGAUGCCUCUUUCGGGUUGCCAGAAGAAUAUUACUGUCAAAGAAACUUUGGAACUAAAUGGUUGGAUGUGUGACAAAGUGUGGUCUGUUAAGUUGUCCAUGGGCCUGUAUGAUAUUCGAUGGCUACUAACGGCGGAUGGUCGCUUCGGCUGCCUUGCAUAUGGAUUUCACUUUGCUGCAAACUCCCCUCAACCACUGUUGGAUAGUGUUUGGAAACUGGAAAGUGAAGGCUGUGAGGAAUCACCCAUGGUCGACUUCUACUUGAUUUGGCCCGUCCUCUAGGGUUCCUCCCUCACUCCCCCCGCCGCCGCCNNNNNNNNNNNNNNNNNNNNNNNNNNNNNNNNNNNNNNNNNNNNNNNNNNNNNNNNNNNNNNNNNNNNNNNNNNNNNNNNNNNNNNNNNNNNNNNNNNNNNNNNNNNNNNNNNNNNNNNNNNNNNNNNNNNNNNNNNNNNNNNNNNNNNNNNNNNNNNNNNNNNNNNNNNNNNNNNNNNNNNNNNNNNNNNNNNNNNNNNNNNNNNNNNNNNNNNNNNNNNNNNNNNNNNNNNNNNNNNNNNNNNNNNNNNNNNNNNNNNNNNNNNNNNNNNNNNNNNNNNNNNNNNNNNNNNNNNNNNNNNNNNNNNNNNNNNNNNNNNNNNNNNNNNNNNNNNNNNNNNNNNNNNNNNNNNNNNNNNNNNNNNNNNNNNNNNNNNNNNNNNNNNNNNNNNAGCGCGCGCGGCUACCUGCCCGGGGCAUGGGCGGCGGCGGUGCUCCUCGGCUCGGCGGCAGUGGCCGGCGGCGCGUGAGGUGGUGGCGUGGCCCCUUGGCGGCGAGAAGGCGUGGUGGCGCUGGUUGGCCGGCGGCACGCCCCCAGCCCAGAUCUGGCCCUGCGGGUCCCAUCUGGGUCCUAGCGGGCCGGCUCCGCGGCGUGGCUUCAUCGUCGUCUGUGUGGUCUGGAGGAGGAGCAGCUCGAAUGGGGGCGGUGAUGCCGGCGGCGUGCCUGCUAGAGCGUGGUGGCAGGAGCUUUACGGGCGUGGAGGUCCCGGCCGGGCCUGUGGGCCCACGGGCCUGGUAUGCUCCUGCUACUGUGUCCGGUCGGCUACCAUCGUUGACAUUUUAACCCUAAAAAACUCAGGAUUUUAUUUAUUCAUUUUAUUUUGGGAAAUAUAUAAUUGAAAAUUAGUUUACAUAUACAUAUAUAAUGUGAAAUAAAGACAUAUUUCAUAUAUUUGAAUCGCUGGUUUGAACCAUCCCAAACAAGGUGUACCACGAUUAGCUACCGAGGCAAUAUAGAGGAACAAAGGCUACAUGAUAGACUAGCAAGGCAUGCGAUCGAAUUGGCAUCGUCGAUGUUGAACUAACACCGGUGGUCAGGGUGGCACCUAGAGGAGGGGAUGUUGGCGACGCAAGGGAAGGAGGGGCAGCGCCAUCUGAAUGGUGGAUGGAUGGAUGGGUGCAACAACCUCCGUGAGGGGAGAACUGAGAGUCGGGUGGUCUUGCGAAGAAGGCAACGUGUGUAGGGUUGAUAGCUCGGCAGUGAAGUUGUAAUCUGUCCUACUACGUGGCACAACAGGUUGGGGUCCGUCCGCAGGGACAGUGAGAGGAAGUGAAGAAGAGCUAAUGUCGAUAGGCCAAAACAAUUUAUGGGAUCAUGAAACUUUAUUCAGGGUUAUUAAGUGGUAGUUACACGAUCAUGUGGCAUUCUCAGCCCGACAUGACAGUUGAAACCUAAUGACAGAGAGGGUUUUGCUAAUCUAUCAGCUUCAAAGUUGUGGCUUCUACCUUCAUGACUGUAUUGCACACCUCAAAAUCAUUCGUACGCUGGGAAAUCUCUAGAACAAUAGCACCGUAGCGACCUCCUGCCCCUAUCUUGAAUGUCUUUUAUUGCUUACAAACAGUCUGACACAAUUAUUACCUUGCGCAACAUCCAAUCAUCAGCCAAGGCCAAAGCUUCUCGACACGCUAGGGCUUCCAGAACGGUAGGAUAGGUGAUGUUCUUGAAUGUGAUCGAGGACGAGCCUAGGAACUUGCUCUGAUCGGUGUGGCACAUGACUCCCACUACUCAACGGCCACCAUCGCUAUACACCGCACUGUCAACAUUAAAGCUUGCAAAACCCUCUAGAGGCGCUUUUCCAAAUAGCAUGUGAUUCAUUCAGAGCUCUAGGCCAUUCGGAUGGUGAUUUGUUCUGUUGGGUGCUCUGGAUGUCAUAGAUGAAGUUUUUGACUAAAAAGUGUGCUCAAAGAGACAACUGGAACUCUCCUUCAUGAAUUUAUUUGCGCCAAGCGUGCCAAAUUGCCCAUAAUGUGACUACCAUAUCAAUAAAAUCAUAAUGUGCCUAUGUCUCCAUCAUCAUAAAGAGCCAAUGUCUGGUGUGUGGCUCUCUCGUCUCAAUCAUGGGUUCUACUACUUGGUAAACAUUGAAUGUCUAGUGUGUCACUACCAUAUGAAAGAUUUCUUUUUUCAGUAUCACAUUGACUCAGUCAUUUCGAAACCAGGAAAAGAGCAAUGCCGACUCUCAUGUUUUUAUGGGAAGCUAAUAUGAGCCUAAGGUACAAGACCUGGACACCAUAAAACAUCUGCGAAGUGAGAGCACAAUACCUUGGGGUGUGCAUUGGUGACUUUAAUGAAGUUAUUUGACAAGAGAAGCUGUGGGGCACUAACAGGACAUAGGGUUUUACACUUCAUAGCAGCCUGGACCUAGGUAAAAUCAUCAUGUUACGUAGGUGGGAUUCGUUCCCCUCUUUGCCCCUCACCGAACCAAUAAGAGGAGCAUCCAAAGCUCCCUGGUGCUGUGCAGCAAGCCACGACACAUGUGUUGUUUUAAUGAAGUUGUCACGCUAUUUUAGUCUUCAACCAUGAAAGUUUUGCAUGUUCAUUUUGAUACAUGUCUGGAGAUUUUUUUCUUAAUGUAUGGCAUUUUGUGUUCAUUUUGCCUGGCGGAUCCUGUAGUCACUAUCCUCAUUGAUAGUUUCAGAUCCCAGGUGAUUUUUGUGGCUAUGCAUUGUCCUACUUUUGUCAUAAUGUACGGAUUAAUUUGAGAGAAAUUUNNNNNNNNNNNNNNNNNNNNNNNNNNNNNNNNNNNNNNNNNNNNNNNNNNNNNNNNNNNNNNNNNNNNNNNNNNNNNNNNNNNNNNNNNNNNNNNNNNNNNNNNNNNNNNNNNNNNNNNNNNNNNNNNNNNNNNNNNNNNNNNNNNNNNNNNNNNNNNNNNNNNNNNNNNNNNNNNNNNNNNNNNNNNNNNNNNNNNNNNNNNNNNNNNNNNNNNNNNNNNNNNNNNNNNNNNNNNNNNNNNNNNNNNNNNNNNNNNNNNNNNNNNNNNNNNNNNNNNNNNNNNNNNNNNNNNNNNNNNNNNNNNNNNNNNNNNNNNNNNNNNNNNNNNNNNNGUUUCAAACUUCAUGGCAAAAUUGCCAUGCCAUCAUGCAGGAGAGGCACAACAAUUUUUUUAUGGAAACAAUUCACAUGUAGGAACUCCCUGGUUAGUACUAGGGCACAUGUCAAUUAUAUAGCUAGAUAAAUGUAAAGCAUAUGGCAAAAUAUGAACCGUAUCUACCUAUAUGUCAAGGUUCACCAAUCCAUAAGAAUGACAAUUUGUUAUUUUAAUGUGUCCCAUGGCAUUUCUAAUAAUGUGUUCCAUGGCAAUUUCUUCUUUGUUAGUAACACUAAUACUACUGUGUCCGGUCGGCUACCGUCGUUGACGGUGGAGGUCGUGCCCUCCCGCGUGCCGACGGUGCUGCGGCCCCUAGCCCCGACUCCUAUUCUCCAUUGUGCAGGCCUCACUUUGUGGUGCCGUGGUGAGACGGCGUGGAGGCUUCAUGACCGCGGUGGCGCAAGAUGGUGGGUGGUCGGUUUGGUGGCAGGCUCUAGAGCAUCCGAGGUGAAGGUUGGGAUCGGGGGAAACUCCUGUCGGCCUGUCCGACACCGACGCGGCGAUGCCAGUGGGUGCUCCCGGACCUUCCUGGAGGGCGUCGGGGGUGACCCUUCCUCUCGCCUCGUUGCGUAUCGGGGGAAACCCUUGGCAGCAACGUCGUCAUCGUCGCGGUCCUUCUUGGAGGUGUUGAUUGGUACCGGUGCUUCAGAGCCUUGGAGCUUGGUGGGAGAUCUUCGGUGGGCGCAGUGGUCGUGAAGCUUCUUCGUUUCCGUUAAUCCGCCAUUGUCGGCAUUUUUUCUCUUUCGUUUCUUUUGGGUGUGAUUGUGCUGCUUCUGCCCAACACCUAUCGUUGGCUGUAUCGAUUGGUUGCUUUGUAAUACAAAGCGGGGGAAAACCCUUUUUCUUAAAAGUGAAGGCUGAGCCCAAAAUUAAAUUUUACUUGCGGCUUCUAUUGAAGAAUGGCACCUCUUCUGUCCUAUGUGAUCAGGUUCCUGAAUCUGCUACUCAACUGACGUUUAACUGCUCCUUCGCUCGCCACCUCUUCUGUCCCUCUGACAAUAAGGUGGCUACCGUCGGAUUUCGUGCUGUCACAAUCAAAGUUUGGUGGCACAAAUCUUCCUCCCUGAGCAAGUUUGCUGUCUUGAAGAAGCAAGACACUGCUGCUGAUUACAUAUCGUAGAAUCACUACCCCAAACAGACUUUUUCGUGACGGCCAGACACGUUCGUGACGGGCGCGAAACCUCCUUCAGGAAUGUGUACGUGUUCCUGACGUGGAUGGUCAACCGAGGGGAAAGAUCGUUACGUUCCUGACGCUCUCAGCAAUAACCUUCAGGAAUGAGAAUAACCUUCAGGAACGCAGUUGCACGUUCGCGUCGGGACACUAUCCACGUCGCGAAUCACUUUGCACACCUUCAGGAACGUAUAUGUGACCGUCAGGAAGAUACCUAUGCGGGACCCGGAGAUAUUUUCGCUUUUGAGGCGCGUGAUAUUUUCGUUUGGAGAGUGAAAAGCGCGCUGAAAUUUCGUUCCCAGGGUGUAUUUCGUGCGACUUGCGCUCUCAACAGGAGGGCUUGGUCAAAACACAGGAGGGCUUGGUCAAAAUACCUAGAACUCGAUCCACUUUUCCCCAUCGAGAUACUCCUCCCACUCCCCCGUCCAGCGCCGCCACCUCCCCCGUCCAGCGCCGCCACUUCCCCCGUACCGGCCGUCCAGUUCCGAUCGGCCGCCCCCCCUAGCCGUCGAGCGCCGCCCACAUCGCCGUCGAGCGCCAUCCCCCUCGUCGUCGAGCGCCACCCCAACUCGCCGGCGACGUCCAGAUCCGCCUCCCUGGCCGGCGAUUUCCAGAUCCGCCUCCCUCCCCGUGCAGAGGUGACUCCCUGCCCGUCCAGGCCCUCUUUCUCAUCUUCCCUACCCAAUCUGGCUGUUGUAUCAAAUAGUUUAGAUGUGCUGCACAGCUACAAAAAAAUCUAUUUCAUUCUUAAUUCUGAAUAUGUAACUUUUGUGCAUUUUAUGUCCAUGCAAAGAACUUCUGUAUGUUGAAAAAAAAUGCUAUUUACGAUUGAAAAUUAGUUUCAAAUCUGUGUACAGUGGUACAUUUUUCCUUUUUAGUUAACAAUUUCAUUUUGUACUUAAACGAUGUUGAUUGAGUAAUCUUGUAGUACUUGUGAUAAAUUCGCUAUGUUUCUGCAGUGGCUCAUUAUCAUUUAUUCAGACCAAAAGCGUGUUGGUAAGUUGCAUUCAGUUUCAUUUGACCUCCCAGUAUGGGUAGUUUGUUGAAAAAACAUGUUCCCUUAUGUAGGGAAAGAUGUAUGGCCCUGCAGAAUGAGUUAGAAAUUAUGCUUCUAUAUAAUGUGGUGGAUUAUGGAUCACUAAUGUAAUUUGUGUUCUCAGAUAUUUCUUUUUGGAGGUCAAGUAUGGAUUAUGGAUUAUGGAUUACUAAUGUAAUUUGUGGUGGAUUAGGGAAAGAUAUAUUGCUAUCCCUAACCACCUGAGAACAGAAUAGAAGAUGUCUUUCAUGUAUAUUUUGACUAACCACCUGAGAAUGAUUAUUUGUUCUCGUACAUGUUUUCUUUCCUUGUAGAUAAUUGAUAGAACAUUUAUUCAUUUAGCAUUUAGAGCCUUUUUGCAGCACAAUUUAAACUUUUACCUCCUCUCCAAUGACGACGCUGCUCUUCCCCAACGACAGCUUGCUGCUGAACUCUGUCAACACCUGCUGCUAAUCGUCUCUUGCAUCUACAUGUUCCUGUUCUUCUCCAUCUUCAAAGCCACGUCUUAGACUGCUGCAACACCAAGCUCCAGAAGCCAAAUUUAUGUUCUGUACUCCAUUAUCUCACCUCUUCCCUCGCUGAUUUCUUGAACCCCUUGCUUGUUCAGUUAGUGUGAUGUCUGUUCCUUUAUGCUUCCAAUUGAGAUGAUCUAGUUCUAGUUUUAUCACCUUAGUAUUUCAAUUAUUUGCUCCUUUGCAAGACUGAAGAUCCGAUGCUCUGUUAGAUUUAAAUUUCUUGUUCAACUUAAGAGAAAAUGUUAGUGUCCUGUUGAUUGUGUUCCAGCAUGAACUCGUUCCGAACCUCACCUACUGCCGUUUUAUUCUAUAUCGAGUUUUGUCCAAGUUUUGAGUGUUGGUUGUUUGUUAGAAGAGCAUCUUCUCUUAUGUAGGAAAAGAAGAAUGGCCUAUGGCAGCAACAAAGAUGAACACUUGCAAGUUCAUGAAGUUGGAAGUUUGCAAAUGUGGUUGAGAGUGGAGAUUGUGGCCCCAUCAAUAAUAUAAUGUUCAAAAGUGUCUUGUAAGUUCCUGCACCUUUGCUCUUUAUUCAAAACUACGACAAAUGUUAAUCUAAAAUGUAACAUUUUUGUUUUUCAAUAAAUUGUUUGUUCCAUGAUCAGUACAGUUGUAUUAUAAUGAUGGCAUCCUUUGCAUUUCUCUUGAACUUGUGUACACAAACAUAGAAGUAGAACAGCAAAAGGUUGUCAGUGCAUUAGCUUCACCCUGCUGCUCCAAUAACACUUAUACUACACGAUGUAUAUACCUCUAAACUUGCAUUUAUGAGUAUGUCCCCAGUUAUUCUAAUUUUCUUCACAAAUACAGCUUCUGAGUAGAAAUCGUUGUAGAUACUUGGGGCCACCAUUCUCCUCACCAGACCCUUGGGUGGGCGAAGGCCCUCAAGCACCUCCACUUGAACUUCUGGUGAGUAAGUCUGUAAGGAACCACCCCAGGACAGUUCUAGUCAUAUUAGUCUUUUCUUAUCAGCUAGCUUUGCAUCGCCCGCCUCCUUGUUUUUAACAUUUUCAAGAUGAUGAAUUUUUGGAUUGCCUUGCAGCUUGUUUAGGCUCUCCAACUGUUUUAGCUCAUGCCAAUGUUCCGUCCUUACUUGAAAUACAUCAAGUUCUUUUAGUGAUGCUAAACUGCUGAUGUUCAGAACUUGCAUCGCAAAGCUAUAAAUAUGCUGCUUACUGCUAGUUUUCUACAUGUAGUGCUAGUUCUGUACAUGCAGUUUAGUGUUCCGCAUACUUAGAUUUUUCCUAUGAAGUGAUGAUUUUGUUUGCUAUCAUGUAAAGUUGUGAAGGGGGUUGGUCAUCACAAAAUUUCAUUUGCCAUGAAUACUAUGGAUAUAGGUCAUUGGAUUGCAACCAUUUAUUUUUUUCUUCCCUUUUCUUUUCUUUUGUUCAUUAUGUUCCGGUUACAAUUUAAAUAAUUGCAGCCUGUACUUGGCAAUAAGAGAAGUCUUCUUCACUUGCUUGGUGGCUAGCAACAAGUGUGUCAUGAGCUGGAGCUUACCUUUUGGUUUGAAAACCUGUAUGUAUAACAGUUUUGCCUUUCACCGUUGUUCAUUGAAAUCUCCUAUAUUUUUCUGUCGUAUAGGUGAAUGGAACCUUCCAAGCCCACGUGAAUGCUGAUACUCCGUUGGCAGAAUGUUCCCAUGAUGAAGACAAUCCUCAUGCUACUCAUGCGGAUGAGCAUAGUUCUAUUCCAACACAGGACAAACAUUUAGGAAUUCCAGUAGUAUAGCUAGUUAAUAUUGUGAACUGCAGUGCAGUUAGGCUUUCUUUGUCAAUUGCUUCUCCUGGCAAUUUAGGAAUCAACUAGUAUGCGUGUUUUGGACUUGGUGACACCUCCUGUUAAGUCAAGCUUCCAUGAAUCAUGACUUGGAUAUGAAUGUGUGGAUCUUGUGAACAAUGAGAUUUAAAUAAAUUGGAUGGGUACAUUGUGACCUAGGAAUUGGUUGUGAUUUUAAACCGGGUCGUGUGACCUUUGUGUACGCAUGAUUGUCAAAAGAUUUGCAUGUGGCUGUGAAUAUAUACUGUUUUCCAAUAAUAUUUUUGGUUUGUCUUGGUUGAUUCCUGACGACUGUUUUCAUACUUUCCUGACGAAGCUAGCCGUCAUGGAUAUAUGUUGAGCUCAUUCCUGAAGGUAUGGUCCUGAGAGCCACAGAAGAUGUUCCUGACGGUAUCUCCUGACGGUGGGGCCGUCAGGAAUUUGAGUUUGGGAGGCGAGGGGCUCCCCUCAGGAAUUGCCGUCAGGAACACUAUUCGUGACGGGGACCGUCAGGAACAAUCCUCUUUCCUGACAAGCUGUUUCUGACGGGAAAUUCCUGACGGCAGGGGCUCAUUCCUGACGAAAACUGUUGAUUCCUGACGGAUUUUGGCCGUCAGGAAAAAGUCAGUUUGGGGUAGUGAAUCUAUGGAAAGGGAGGAACUGCCGAUCUUUUGAGGACGUGAGUGCAGACGCUGAGGUUGUAGACAGUGUAUGGCUUAUGCUUAUAGUCCGAGGUAGCGUCCUCCAAAGCAUGGUUGGCUCCCUUUGAUGCUUCAGAGCAAACUUUGAUGGUUAGCAUUGCCGAUGACCCUGAGUCUGAAACUUGUUUGCUCGUGAGACAUGUUCAACUGAAUUUGGAAACAUGUGAUCAAUGAAGGUUUCAGUCAAGGCAUUAUCCAAAUGCAAGCAGAGAUGUUCAUCUUGAAUGAUGGCGCUUAAUUUUCCUAAACAGUCAAUACAUUGUCCUUAUAUUAACUAGCAUUCUUCUUCCAGUCUCAGCAUGACAUAGGACGCCGCUCGAGCAUUGUCUAACUAUAAGAAGUUAAAAGAAUCACGCGACGCGCCCCAACCUCUGAAUCUUCCAUGGAGCUUGAAGGGAAGCCUGAGGCCAGUAUUACAUGGUUGCUUCUGGGCUUGCAUUGUGUUUAAAUGUUAGUUUAUGUUGCACUGACAUGAUGUUAACUUCACUAUUUUUGUAGGCAUUAUAUACAAUUUUUCUGCUCAUUUGUACUUGAUGCAUUUGCCAAACAGUUGUCUGGUCCUGCUAUUUCUUUUUACCUAAAUGUUAGAAGGCUGAUGUCAGAUUUUUAAGGAGUCGGAGCGAACGACCUCGUGCAUGUCGGGUCCCACGCACCAAUCCUGAAGUGUUCACUGCAAAUACAUCCUUUGAGCAAACUACAAGGUGUUGGCACUAAGCACUAAUUGGUUCGCUCAGGAUGUCAAUAUGAGCGAACACAUUCACAGACGAUGAUAAUUUAUGUUUUUAGAGCAUGUCAAUUAUCACCUUUUUCCGUUGAUGUAGCAUGACGAUUUCAUUCAGCUAGUAUGGCAAUUCCUGAAUGGCAAUUUUUAGUUUACAACAUGGCAACUCCUUAUACAAAAUCACAUUUUUUGAGCAUUCGCUUAAAGUUUUUUCAAUGAACGAAAAUGUUUGCUUGUUCGUGUGACAUCUAGGCUUAAGAAAAUGAUAUAUUACUCAUAUCAACAAGGUACACCUGCUUUUUAGGGCGCCAUCCGAAAGAAACAUCCAAAUUUAGUGCGUGCACGAGUGAGGAAACACAACUAAAGGGUCGUUACUAAACCCUCCCCCUUUAGUCCCAGUUCUUAUACGAACAGGGACUAAAGGCCCUCCACGUGGCCGCUGCCUGGAGGUCCACAUUUAGUCCCGGUUGAUAACACUAACCGGUACUAAAGGAAAUUUUAUGAUUUUUUUAUUUUUUUUAUUUUCAAAUUUCUGAAUUAUUUUAACCUCUAAUCUCUAAUCAACCCUCAUCACUGCUCAAUUUAACCUCUAAUAUCUAUUCACCCCUCAUCAUUCCAAAUCAUCUAACUUCUCGGACGGUCACCCAUCCUCUCAUUACUCCAGUCUGAGCACGCUUAACUUCAGGGUUCUAUAUUUCCUCGUUUCCAAGUUGUUUUCCUGACAAUAGUAAGAUGUCAAUCCUAUUAACCCUCAGGAAUUUAGCUUGAGCAUGAAGUCACACAUUUCAUUGUUUGAGUUUGAAACUAUUGUUCUAAAAAACAAUAAUUAUUUAGUAACACUAAUAUUUCUUGAAUAAGUAGUUUGACCACAAUUUGACCAUAGUUUGACCAAUGUUUGACCAGAUUUGACCAAAAUACAAAAAAACUGAAAUAAUUAUUUAGUAACACUAAUAUUUUUUAAUAAGUAGUUUGACCAUUGUUUGACCACAGUUUGACCAUAUUUGACCAAAAUUCAAAAAAACUGAAAUAAUUAUUUAGUAACACUAAUAUUCUUGAAUAAUUAGUUAGUAACACUAAUACUUCUUGAAUAAGUAGUUUGACCAGAUUUAACAAAAAUUCAAAAAAAUUGAAAUUUGAGCAUAACUUUUUUUCCUUUUAGAAUUUGAGGAUUCUAAAAAUUUGCAAACAGGCCACCUUGAUCUGAUGAUAACCAGAAUAAGCAUCUAAAAAGCUCAAACGCUCACAACUCGCCGUAGCAUCAAUGAUCUGAUCAAUAUGGGGAAGAGCAAAAGGAUCAGCUGAGCAAAGCUUUGUUAAGGUCUGUGUAAAUCCACACACAUACGCCAAAGUGCCAUUUUUCUUAAGUACUAGCACCGGAUUAGCUAACCACUCAGAAAGAAAAACUUCAACAAUGAACCCGGUUGCCAAGAGGGCCACCUCUUCUCCAAUGGCCAUGCCUCUCCUUAUUAAAACAAUGAAGAAAUUGUUUGACCGACUUAAACUUAGGAUCAAUAUUGAGAGUGUGCUCAGCGAGUUUCCUAGGUACACCUGGCAUGUCUGAAGGCUUCCAUGCAAAGAUGUCCUGGAUCUCAUGGAUGAACUCGAUGAGCGCGUUUCCUAUUUCGGAAAGUGCUAUGCUAGUUUCUUAUGUUGCAGAUCAUGAACUUUGUAAGAUCAAUUCUUGUAAUGUUGAACCCACCAGUCUAUCUUUAAGACUGCUUUUAAGUUUCAUUUUGUGCAAAUUUUCACUCUCUAUGUUAAUGUUUAGUUGCCCGGUCAAUGCAAGUAAAACAAACUGCUACCAAAUUAUAGGCAAACAAACAAAAUGUUGCCAAAAUUCAUUUCCAUUCAAACAAAUACAUGUCAUAUACAAUUGGAUACAUCAAGCAUGCACCACACUUUAUUCAUUCUCAUUCCCUACUACAGGAUCACUUCUUAAAAACUACAUGCACUAUUAUUGCAACCAAUACAACAAAAUGCACUGAAAAUACUCCUAUAUAGGAAAAUAAGCUCAUUUACUAUCAAAAGUGCUUUGCAUUUAUUGCUUCAUAGUCUUCUUCCUACUAUAUUUGUUCACUAGCACUGACACUAGCCAAAUCAACACUGCUCAGUGUGCCUAGUUCCAAACAAGACAUCCUUGUAGUUGUCUGGUCUAUCUUUCCAAGUAGUAGUGUUGGCAAAGAUUUGAUUAAGCCUGUCACACAAUUUCACACAUGUGAGAAAACACACGGAAAAGAGAUCAAAAUCGAGCAAAAAAUGGAAUCUUACACAAUGAUUAGGGGUACUUGUAGAAAACCCUCCUAGGAUUUUGCGUCUAAUUUUGACACAAGAUGAAUCGUUGACCGAAUUCGGCAGCAAUGGCAUGCCACCAACGACAGUCUCCCCGUUGGUUGCGGCAGUGGAAGUGACGCUUGCACAACCUUCUUCCUGGGGCGCUUCCUAGUAGACGAGCCUGAGGCGGCCGACAUGGCGAUGGAGCAACCAUGGCGAGAGAGAGAGAGAGAAGACCUAGGGACCGGGGAAUGAAAAGAAUCAAUGCUACAAAGGGCCGCAUUGCAUAAAUGCCCAAUCGUUAGCCUCGGGAAAUCUCCCGCCUGGGCCCUCCAGACGGCGUGGCUGGGGUCAAAGUGCCACGCAGGCUGGUCAGCGCUGAUGAGAGAGAAUUAGAAUCUGAGAUGGACGACUUAAAAAGAUUUAGGACCCAGACUUGCAUUUUCAAAGUAUUGGGACUCAGUUGGCAAUUCAACGAAAGAAUUAGGACCGCCUAUGCAUUUUACUCUUUAAGUUUUUCUAGACAAAUUUACUCUUUAAGUUUUUUUUUUGAGGCAAUUUUACUCUUUCAGUUAACUUUUUUUUGUGAGAAACUCUUUAAGUUAACUUUUUUGGGCUACCUCUUUAAGUUAAGUUUCUUUAGGGGUAACUUAAUUUAAGUUUUUUUUGAGGGGUAACUCUUUAGGUUAGGUUUUUUUAGAAUCAACUCUUUAAGUUAUUUUUUGUUUUGUUUUGUUUUUGAUAAUCAACUCUUUAAUUUAAGUUAACUCUUUAAUAAGUUCAGUUAAAAGAAAUCUUUAAUAAGUUAAGUUUUUUUUGAUAAUUUAAUACUCCCUCCAUUCCUAAAUAUAAGUGUUUUUAGAGAUUGCACUACGAACUACAUACAGAUGUAUAUAGACAUUUUUUAGAGUGUAGAUUCACUCAUUCUUACUUUGUAUGUAGUCCUAGUGAAAUCUCUUUAAAGACUUAUAUUUAGAAACGGGGUGGUAAGUUAAGUUUUUUAGCAGCAUUUAAUAAGUUAUGUUUUUUUUGAAGAAUUUAGUAAGUUAAGUUUUUCUAGAAGAAUUUAACAAGUUAAGUUUUUUUAGAAGUAGGAAUAUUUUUUUUUUGCGUUCAAGAAGUAGGAGUAUUUAAUAUGUUAAGUAAGUAUAGAGAUAAAGAGGUUGCUUUGCCUUGGCCCAACAAGUGGCACCGGUACCCGCUGAUAAGUCACCUGGGCCUUAGCCCAGCCCAAAGCACUAGCAGCAUAAGAAUCAACAAAGAGGAAAGGGGUCGACAGCGGCGAUGUUAGGAUUUGCUCGGAGGCGGCGGCGAGUAAGGAUUCAUUCAUCAUGGCGUCUGUAGAGCAGUUGGAGUCGGAGGAGGAGGUGGAGGGCUUCGAGCCUUUCUUCUAUGACAGUGAGGAUUGGGAUGCCUGGGCGGAGGAGGAGGCGGAGAGGCGCCGGCGGGAGGAAGAGGAGAAGGCGCGGAGGACGGAGGAGAACCGGCGGAGACGCGAGGCACACGAUGCGGUCAUGGACUCCAUCAUCCAGCACGAUCCCAAGGUGGGGCGCGACGUCUACACCCGAUUCUUUCUCAGAGAUUUCUCCGUCUUUGACAUCAACGAAGAGUGUAAGUGGCCUCUCCGUUUCUGAAGCCGGUGUAGUACUCUUCUCUUUUGGCUUUAUAUUUGUAGAAUUGUCUGAUUGACAGUAUGCAUGGGAACUGAAUUAGUACGUUUCACCUGCAUAAUCCUCUGUUAGGAGAAUCCUCUGACAUGCCAUGUUCAUUAUUGAUGCAUAGCAGUAAACAGCAAAUCUCAGUCCGUUUACUAGAUUGGAUCUAGUUUCAAUUAACAACAGGAACUCACUGAUUUGGCUAAAACUGAAAUUGACUUUCUACAGAUGGUGAGAUGAUAGUUUCCUCUUGAAGUUAACAGCGAAUCUCAUUUCAUUUACUUAGAUUUGAUUCAUAUGUAUAUCACUUAACAACAGAAGUCACUGAUUUUGCUAAAAUUGAAAUUAACUUGGUUCGAAUGGUGAGAUGAUAGCUUUCUCUUGUAGUUAACUCGCAAGUCAAAAUAAGAAUAUUAGAUGGUUUAACUCAGUGGGAUAUAAACGGGAAAAACACAAACUGGGCCUUUUUAUUGUGAUGAAAUAAUCUGACAGAUAUAUUUUGUUUAUUCGUCGCAGCGUCUGUCCCUCCAAUGCGAUACACCGAUAGUAUCUACCAAGAUGAAUUUGGGCUAGAAGACUCUGCAAACAUCCUCUCUGUCAGCAUAGUCUCCUCAGAUGUAGGCUUCCCAGUCAAUGUCUAUGGCCGUGUCAUUGCCAGAGACAGCAUUGACUACAAGUGCAUUUAUCUCUUUCACCGCAAUAGAGAUGAUUGCCAGCAUCUCAACAAGGUACAUCCUUGCUUCUAAGUUUGUUCCAAUCGGGUUUCAUUUUAUUCCAUGGUGCAUUUAAUAUCAACUGUUAAUUGGCAUCUAAAUGGAGUCAUCUUAGUGCUGGUGGUUGUCGAUCCAGACAGUCAUCUGCAUAUAAAUGGAGUAGCUUUUAUGGCAUGCUUCCAAUCUUCAUUUUGAGCAGUGUUUGGAUGAGCAUACUCUAACCUCUCGUGCAAUUCUUUUCAUAGGAUGGAAUGCUGAUUUUAACUGGCCCAUAUCGAGGUCCAGUGCUGGUUGAUUUCAUCUAUCUAGAGAUAGAUCUUAAAAUAAGGGAAGAAGGAGUUCCAGACAGGCCAUUUAGCAAGGGUCUAAUAAGCAUUGAUGGCCGAGUACUGUCUAGAGAGAAAGAUGUCAUGGUUAGAAGUGAAACACUUGAGAGCUGGCUCAGCACUACGGAAGUGAGAUUCACAACUGUCCUGGAUGCAGUCGAGUGCACCUUUGAAAUCAAGCUCAUUGAGGGGCUUUUUAAAGGAAAUAUAACAGUUGGCAUCGUGGAUAAAGCUCGCAAGCUGGACAAUGAACAAACGAUUGUGAUUCAUGAUAGCACAGCAGAUGGCGUGGUUACAAGUGAUGAAAGUGGAGUUAUCAAACUCCGGCGAAGUGUCAUUACUAUCUGUCUGGAAAGAAAUGUAAUGUUUUGCAUAAAUAAUGAGGCUGCUGGUGUUUGUCCUGAACGAACCUUUGAUUUCACUCCACGCCGCACUGGUGUAGAUGAAGAGAAAAUUACGUGUGGUGCUGGGGAGUUCGGAUUCAGGAUUGUCUGGUCCUUGAUGGACUUUAGGCUGUAAUCCUGUCACUUGGUAAACUUAGUUCUGAUGUAAUGAAGUGAUGCAAUGAUGCAGUGAACUAUGUUAAUCGUGAUGUAAUAAUGUGGUGCACUAAGUUAUAUUAUUGUUAUUAAGUAACUUGAUGGAUUAUAAGUAAUGAGUAGCGAACUAAGUUAUUAUAUAGUAUUAUGCUGGCUUGUUAUACCAAAUUUGUUGGCUUAAUUUUUUGGCAUAAUUAAAGAAGAUUAGUGCACUUGGCGUUUUGUUAGACAUGUAUUAGGCGGAAAUGCGAGCAUUUGUCACUGUUAACGGACAUUUCUACCAUAUUUAUCUGUGGUUUGUAUUGAUUGCUCAUGGUCACGUCUGUGUUAUCUAAAUGUCCUGAAAAUUUAAUUAUUUGGAAGAUGGCUUUGCAUUGCAUUUGGUUGCUGUUAUUCUGAACUAACUUCUGAAGCACAACCUGGGUUCAACUUGGAAGGCAGGAGACAUCUUCAUGUUAUCUGAACCACAUGUUUGUUGGGAAGGAGUGUCCUUCACGAGAAAGUGGCUUCAUUUUUUGAUCCAUGUUGCCUGUUCAAGCCAAUACAAAAUUUGCUGGAACAUAAGAAAUUUGGGGAUCUUUACAAAAGAAACGAUCUUCAAGACCCCAUGCCGCCAGAGGUACUUUUUUUUACCCAUGUUCUCUUUUAUAAACUGUGUUUGGUUUUGUGCUUCUGGCAAUGCCUCUACAUAUGCAUAUGUGGAUAUGCUAAUUGACGACAUCUGUGAUGAUUUUCUGCUAAAUCAAGUAUAUUACCUAGGGCACUGGAAAAUGUUGGAAUUGCUGACUUGGCUACAAGGAUUUAGCACAAUGAGAGGUUAAAGGUAUGUUGUAAUAUUUGCCACUUCAAUCUGAACUUCUGAAUGAUUGCCAUCUCUACCUCUAAAAACUGUUGCUUGUAACACUCUUGAUUGUUUGGCUUAACUAGCUGUUUUGAACGCAUUGAUGAGUACCAAGAGGCAUGCUUCUCCUUGCCAUAAUUUAAGAAAUAAUCAACACAUGAUCAAUUUUCUGUGAAUCAUUAUUUAAACAGCACAAAACAAAGGUUCAUGCUGUCUUUUGUUUCUUGCACACCUUGAGGGCUGUUAUGAAACCAGUGGACUGGUAACAAUUGAAGAUGGUAACUUCAAAUAAAAUGGACUGGGAUCACGGAUCUUCUGGGCCAGUAAAUAAAUCGGGAGUUAUAGAACAUCAGAAUUAUAAUACGUUGAGCAUGAACUGAAAACCUGAAAUAGUAUGGAACAGAACAUCACAGCAAAGCUACUGGCUAGAGCUGGGAGAUUGACAUUGAUUAAUGUUUUCCUCACGGCCACUGCAACUUAUUUCCUCACUGUUUUUGCUGCAAGCAAAUGAACAACAAAGAGAAUGGACAAAAUGAGAAGAAAUUUUCUUUCGAACGCGAAUGAGGAGGCUAAGGGAGGAGAUUACAUUAUGUUCCAUUUUUUUUGUUCUUCAAAAGUUGCUGAAUUUAAAUAAAAAACUCUGUACGUGUGUGUUUGAAUAGUGGAGUUCUUUUAUUGGUGGGCUGUACAGCACCUGAAGCAUUUUGUUCAUGCAUGCUGUACCCCUUAAUUUUAGACAUAUUUGAGAUUUUUUGUUGUUGUUAUACAGGUUUUCUAUUAUAAUCCGCCAUGUAAAUUUCAAAACAAAAGAAGUGCAUGCUUCAAGAAGAUUCAAAUCUUCCUACACAAAUGUUGAGUCGCCAAGUGAAAAGCUAAUGGAGGGGUAGGGUCGUAGGAAAGGAGCCGAAACACAAUUGUCUAGCAGUGAACAGCGAAUCUGCAUUUAUUUAUUUGGAUUUGAUUUUGAUUUGGUUCAUAUAUGUAUAUCACUUAACAACAGGAAUCACUGAUUUUGUUAAAACUGAUAAUAACUUGAACAAAUUGUGAGAUGAUAGCUUUCUCUUGAAGUUAACUCAGCAAGUGAAAUAAGAAUAUUAGGUGAUUUAACUCGGUGGGAUAGACAUGGGAAGAACACAAACUGGGGCUGUUUAUUGUGAUGAAAUAAUUUGAUAGAUUUAUUUUCCUUAUGUAUUGCAGCGUCUGUCCCUCCAAUGCAAUACUCUGACAGUAUCUCCGAAGAUGAAUUUGGGCUAGAAGACUCUGCAAACAUCCUCUCUGUCAGCAUAGUCUCCUCAGAUGUAGGCUUCCCAGUCAAUGUCUAUGGCCGUGUCAUUGCCAGAGACAGCAUUGACUACAAGUGCAUUUAUCUCUUUCACCGCAAUAGAGAUGAUUGCCAACGUGUCAACAAGGUACAUCCUUGCUUUUAAGUUCGUUCCAAUCGGAUUUCGUUUUAUUCGACGAUACAUUUAAUGUCAACUGUUAAUACUUAAUGUGCAUCUAAAUGGAGUUGCUUUUAUGGCAUGCUUUCAAUCUUCAUUUUGAGCAGUGUUUGGAUGAGUAUACUCUAAUCUAUCAUGUUAUUCUUUUCAUAGGAUGGAAUGAUGAUUUUCACUGGCCCAAGUCGAGGUCUAGUGCUGGUUUAGAUAUAGAUCUUAAAAUCAGGGAAGAUGGAGUGCUUCCAGAUAGGCCAUUCAGCAAGGGUCUAAUAAGUAUUGAUGGCCGAGUACUGUCUAGAGAGGAAGAUGUGGUGGUUAGAAGUGAAAUUCUUGAAAGCUGGCUCAGCACUAGGAAGUGAGGUUCACAACUGUUCUGAACGCAGUUGACUGCACCAUUGUAAUCAAGCUUCUUGAGGGCCGUUUGAAAGGAAAUAUAAUAGUUGGCAUCUCGGAUAAAGCUCACAAUCUGGACACUGAACAAAUGAUUGUGAUUCAUGAUAGCAAGACAGAUGGCAUGGUGACAGGUGAUCAAAGUGGAGUUAUGAAACUCCGGCGAAGUUUCAUUACUAUCUGUCUAGAAAGAAUGCUGGUGGUUCACAUGAAUAAUAAGGCUGCUGGUGUCUGUGCUGAGCGUACCUUUGAUUUAACUCCACGCCGCAUUGGUUCAGAUAAAGUGGAAAUUAAGUGUGGUGCUGGGAAGUUUGGAUUCAGGAUUGUCUGGUCCUUGAUGGAAUUUAGGCUCUAAUCAUGUGAUUAUGUUCUGAUGUAAUGAAGUGAUGCAAUGAUGUAGUGAACAAAGUUAUAUCACGAGUCAGUGAUGUAAUGGAUCAUGUAAUUAUGUAGUGGUAUAUCGUUAUUUAAGUGAUGUAAUGGAUUAAUAACUGAUGAUGCAGUGAACUAAGUUAUUAUGUAUUAUGGUGUAGUAUUAUAUCGAGUUUGUUGUUUCUACUUUUUGGUAUAACUGAAGCAGAUUAGUGCACUUGUGUUUUGUUAGACAUGCAUUAGGCUGAAAUAUAAACGUCCCGUGUUAUCUAAAUUCCUGGAAAUUUGAAUAUUUAGAUGGUGGAUAUGCAUUGCAUUUGGUUGCUAUUAUUCUGGGCUAAUUUGUGAAGCCUAACCUGGGUUCCCAGUUCUGAACCAUCAAAUCCAUCAACUUCCACUAGCGCCUGUACUUGGUCUUGUGCAGUGCUGCAUGUUGGGAAGGAGAAUUUAUUUUCAUAAUAUCCAUGUUGCCUGUUCAAGUCAAUACAGAAAUUGGCUCGUACAUAAGAAAUUUAAAUCUUCUUUAAAAAUUAUCUAUAAGGCACCAUGACGCAAGAGGUACUUUUUCUACCCAUCUUCUCUUUUCUGAACUGUGGUAAUUUUAUUGAUCUAUAUGCUACUGCAGUGAAGUCAGUGGUGAUGAGAUGUGCAUCGGACAAUGUUGGAAUCUCUGGCUCGGCUACACGGAUUUAGCAUGAUGAGAGGAUAAAGGUUGGUAUGUCCUAAGAUUUGCUACUUCAAUCUGAACUUGUGAAUGAUUGCCAUCUCUACCUGCAAAAACCGUUGGUUGUAACACUCCUGAUGAUGUGGCCUAACCAGCUGUUUUGAACGCAUUGAUAUAUGAUGAAAUUAUGUUUUAACUUCAAAAUGAGCACCAAGAGGUUUAUCAAUUUUCUGGAUCAUAAUUGAAGAAAAUGAGCACCAAGAACUUCUCCUGACCAUAAUUCAAGAAAUGAUCAGUACUUGAUUUAUUUUCUGUGAAUCACUAUUUAAACAGCACAGGACAGUCAGAACUGAUGGAAGCUGACACGCUUACUACACAGAGAGGUCAUGUAUAUGUUCAUGCUGUAUUUUGUUCAGAUGCUCUACUCUACACCUUGAGGGCUGUUAUGAAACCAGUGGUAACAACUGAAGAUGGUAACUACAAAUAAAUUGGACUGGUAUCAGGGAUCUUGAGGGUCAGUAAACAAAAUCUAGAGUUAUAGAUAAUCGAAACUAUAGUCACUGAACAUGAACUGAAAACGUGAAAUAGUAUAGAGCAGAGCAUCAUAAUGUGUUUUCUUAGUUUUCAUAUACCGAUUUGAUGCUUCAGAGCAAACAUUGAUGCUUAGCAUUGUCAAUGACAUGGGCGGAUCUAGUGUGGGGGUUAUGAGGGCCAUGGCCCCCACAAACAUUUUGCAAAAAGUUUUUUACUAGUGCAUGCAUAUGCAUAUAUCCAUUAUAUUAAUUUUUGGUGUAGCCUAAAUACUCCAGAACUUCAAUCCUCCGUAAUGUUGCCCCCACAUUGGUCGAAUUCUAGAUCCGCCACUGUUCAAUGACCCUAAAUCUGAAACUUAUUUGCUUGUGAGACAUGUUCAACUGAAUUUGGAAGCAUCUGAACCCACCUUUACUCGUGCAGGUGAUCAAUGAAGGUUUCAGUGAAGGAAUCAUCCAAGCGCAAGCAGAGAAGUUCACCAUUAAUGAUGAUGCUAAUUUUCCUAAACAGUCAAUACAUUGUUCUUAUAUUGACUGGCUUCCGCUUCGAGUCCCAACAUGACAAAUGAAGCUUGAGCAUCGUCUAACUAUACAAAGUUGAAAGGAUCAGGCAUCAGUGGGCCCCAACCCGGUCCUAUAUCUUGUAUGGAGCUUGAGGGAAAGGCUGAGUGGCUGACCAGUGUUACAUGGUGCUUCUGGGCUUUGCAUUUUUAUGUUUACAUGCUAGUUUAUGUUGCAGUAGCAUGAUGUCAACUUUUUCUGUAUCUUGCUAGGCAUUAUAUACAAGUUUUACGGCCAUUUGUACUUUGAUGCAUUUGCGGUAUAUUAAACAGUCUCCUGUUCCUGCUAUUUGCUACUCAUUUGUAGUAAAUUUAAAUCAGAAUAUUGUGGUUAAGUGUACAACACAUGGUUGUAAUGUGUGAUGUAAAAAGAUGUAACAACCGAGAAGCAACAUGUUUUAUUAGGAAUUGAUUUUGCAUCAUAAUCAUUUCAUCAGAAUUUAAUUUAAUUUGAAAUGAGGAUUUAUUCAACCCUCAUAAUUUUUCCUUAAGGGCUAAAAUCCAAGACAUUCUUCAAUAAAACAAAAUGUCCUUCUCAACCUUAAUAUGAUUCCAAAAUUGUUGAAUAUUUUGUUGUGCCUUUUUUUUAGGGAUUGUUGUGCCUUCGUGUUGAAAAGGGUGCUCAACUGACAAGCACUGUUAUGAGUUUCAUUAUUUGUAGAAUUACGAGUAUUAUUAGAGAGAGAGAGAGAGAGAGAGAGAGAGAGAGAGAGAGAGAGAGAGAGGUAGGUUUGUGCACCACCGUCGAUAUGAUGACUCUGCUAGAGUUGCUCUAAGAGUGAUGAGGAGGACCACCAUAGUUCAAGAAAAUGAAAAUAUGAUUCCAAAAUUGUUGAAUAUUUUGUUGUGCCUUUGUGUUGAAAUGGGUGCUCAACUGACAAUCUCUCUUAUGAGUUUCAUUAUCUUUAGAAUUACAAAUAUUAUUAGAGAGAGGGAGAGAGAGAGAGAGAUAGGUUUGUGAUAUGAUGACUCUGCUAGAGUUGCUCUAAGAGUGAUGAGGAUGACCACCAUAGUUCAAGAAAAUGAAAAUAAGCAAUGAAAGAGCCAAACAAUUUUUUUUUUCUGCUAAAGGGUGGAUUUUAUUAACUCAAAAUGAAGUAUGAAGUGAAUACAAACACAAUGAGCCCACACCCGGCCUCUGCAUAGCUAGAAUGCAUACAACCAACACCAAUGCACACAAACGAAAAUCACACCGGCAACUAGCAAAGUCAAACAUGACCGAAGCUAUGCCUUAGUGGACUAAAAAGAAAAGAAAAAAAAACUCCGAAGCGAUCAAAUCAGUGAUCAACUAUCUACAAUAGCAACCAUAUCUGCACCAAUCAUUUUUUGACAUCAGCAAUGAUGUCGCCACCACUUUCCGCGAUCCCAACAACUACAUACCUAUUUAGGAGCGAUCCAUCCUAUCCUUUGCCCACAGCGAAACAUAGAAAUGAUCUUAAAUAAAGACCACUCGGCCUUAGUCCAGCCCAAAGCAGCAACAAUAUAAGAAGGAAAAAAACAACAAAGAGGAAAGGCAUCGGGCAGGCGAGGCCUCAACGGCGACUUGGGUGACUCGUGGCGACGGUGGCUUGGGAUUCAUGGCGCAAAACAGUGUGAAUAUCCUUUUUUUUGCGCAUAACGAAACUUUCAUUACUUAACUAGAGUCAUUACAAUCCUGUUGACAUAAGAUGUCAACCUCAUCAGGGGCACAAUGAAGCCAAACAGCAGUUUUGGGCAGUAAACGGCCCAUUUGUGCGAGAGCGUGGCUAGCUUUAUUCUGCUCUCGUUUAAUCACCCAGUGUGAAUAUCAAUUAUUGUAAUGGCCAAAACAGUGUGGAUACCAUCUUACAUAAUGAUUGGGGAGGUCAUGUUUAAGCAUUGCUACUAUUUUUGUAAUCAAGUGGCUCAAGUGCUAGCUAAUUUUUAUUACUAUAAUAAAUCUUCUUUUAGUUGACUGGACAAGCCUUCUGACUACAGUAAGGUCGUAAACGAUGUAAACUUAUUUUAAUUUCAAUAAAGCUAGCCAUAAUGAGCAUCUCAUAGGAAAGAAAGUGUGACGCCCCCGAUUCAAUCGUACACUAAUCAUGCACGCAAAUGUGUACGAUCAAGAUCAGGGACUCACGGGAAGAUAUCACAACACAACUCUACAAAUAAAAUAAGUCAUACAAGCAUCAUAAUACAAGCCAGGAGCCUCGAGGGCUCGAAUACAAGUGCUCGAUCAUAGACGAGUCAGCGGAAGCAACAAUAUCUGAGUACAAACAUAAGUUAAACAAGUUUGCCUUAAGAAGGCUAGCACAAACUGGAAUACAGAUCGAAAGAGGCGCAGGCCUCCUGCCUGGGAUCCUCCUAAACUACUCCAGGUCGUCAUCAGCGGGCAACACGUAGUAGUAGGCACCUCCAGUGUAGUAGGGGUCGUCGUCGACGGUGGCGUCUGGCUCCUGGACUCCAGCAUCUGGUUGCGACAACCAGAAAGGAAGGGAAAGGGAAAAAAAGGGGGGAGAAAGCAACCGUGAGUACUCAUCCAAAGUACUCGCAAGCAAGGAACUACACUACAUAUGCAUGGGUAUAUGUGUAAGGAGGCCAUAUCAGUGGACUGAACUGCAGAAUGCCAGAAUAAGAGGGGGAUAGCUAAUCCUGUCGAAGACUACGCUUCUGGCAGCCUCCGCCUUACAGCAUGUAGAAGAGGGUAGAUUGAAGUCCUCCAAGUAGCAUCUUCAAGUAGCAUCUCCAAGUAACAUCUCCAAGUAGCAUCGCAUAGCAUAAUCCUACCCGGCAAUCCUCUCCUCGUCGCCCUGCGGAAAAGCGAUCACCGGGUUGUCUGUGGAACUUGGAAGGGUGUGUUUUAUUAAGUAUCCGGUUCUAGUUGUCAUAAGGUCAAGGUACAACUCCAAGUCGUCCUGUUACCGAAGAUCACGGCUAUUCGAAUAGAUUAACUUCCCUGCAGGGGUGCACCAACUUACCCAACACGCUUGAUCCCAUUUGGCCGGACACACUUUCCUGGGUCAUGCCCGGCCGCGGAAGAUCAACACGUCGCAGCCCCACCUAGGCAAAACAGAGAGGCCAGCACGCCAGUCUAAACCUAAGCGCACAGGGGUCUGGGCCCAUCGCCCAUAGCACACCUGCACGUUGCGUACGCGGCCGAAAGCAGACCUAGCCUAGUGGCGUUCCAGUCCAAUUCGGCGCGCGCCGCUCCGUCGCUGACGUCUGAAGUGCUUCGGCUGAUACCACGACGUCGGGAUACCCAUAACUACUCCCACGUAGAUGGUUAGUGCGUAUAGGCUCAUAGCCGACUCAGAUCAAAUACCAAGAUCUCGUUAAGCGUGUUAAGUAUCCGCGAACGCCGAACAGGGCCAGGCCCACCUGUCUCCUAGGUGGUCUCAACCUGCCCUGUCGCUCCGCCACAAAGUAACAGUCGGGGGCCGUCGGGAACCCAGGCCCACCUCUACCGGGAUGGAGCCACCUGUCCUUUCAGCCCCCUCAUCAGAAUCACUUGCGGGUACUCAUCGAGCUGACCCGACUUUAGUCACCAUCUGUAUAGUAUGUAUGUAUGUAUAGUAUAUACCCGUGAUCACCUCCCGAGUGAUCACGGCCCAAUAGUAUAGCGAGGCAGACUAACAAGAAUGUAGGGCCAAUGAUGAUAAACUAGCAUCCUAUACUAAGCAUUUAGGAUUGCAGGUAAGGUAUCAACAGAUGUAGCGACAAUGUCAGGCUAUGCAUCAGAAUAGGAUUAACGAAAGCAGUAACAUGCUACACUACUCUAAUGCAAGCAGUAUAGAGGAGAAUAGGCGAUAUCUGGUGAUCAAGGGGGGGGCUUGCCUGGUUGCUCUGGCAAGAGAGAGGGGUCGUCAACUCCAUAGUCGAACUGGGCAGCAGCAGCGUUGGUCUCGUAGUCUACCGAAGAGAAGAGGGGGAAGAAACAAUAAAUACAAUGCAAACAUAAGCAAGGCGACGCAAGACAUGACAAAGAGCGGUGCUAGGUGUGUUCUAACGCAGUAUGGGGUGAUGCUGGCGAAGGGGGAAAUCGUCCGGGAAAGUAUUCCCGGUGUUCCGUGUUUUCGGGCAGAGGAGCCGGAGGGGGAAAGUUGCGAGUUUGAUAUGUUAGGGGUGUGUGGCGGACGAACGGGUUGCGUAUCCGGAUUCGUCUCGUCGUUUUGAGCAACUUUCAUGUUGAAAAUAUUUUAAUCCGAGUUACGGAUUAAAAGAUAUGAUUUUCUAAAGAUUUUAUUAAUUUCUGGAAUUUAAUUAAUUAUUUAAUCCAACAUUAUCCAGAAUAGUAAAUGAUGACAUCAGCAUGACAUCAGAGUGAUGUCAGCAGUCAACAGGGGUUGACUGAGUCAACCCUGACAUGUGGGUCGCGUUCGUCAUACUCUAUUAACUUAAUUAGCCUAAUCAAAGUUAAUUAACCUUAGUUAAUUAGGUUAAUUAGUGGUUAGGGUUAAUUAAACAGAAUUAAUUAGAUUAAUUAAAUACUUAAUUAAUUAAUUAAUUAACUAAUUAGUUAAUUAGUUUUAAUUCAUUUUCAUUUUAUUUUUAUUUUUGUUUUAAUAAAAACCGUUCUUUUUAGGGGGGUGGGGCCCCCAUGUCAUUGGCCCAGGGCCAAACGGGUGCGGGUCCAAUGGGCAGGCGGGCGACGGGCGCCCGUAGCCUGCCCGGGGCGGGGCGUGGCCGUGGCCACGGCGGGGUUGCCGCAGCAGGGCACCAGGAGCACCGGGGAGGCGUGGCCGUGGGCGCGGCGAGGGCGGUCGGCGCAGGCCACCGGGGCACAGUGGGGCGCCGGCCAACGGUCGCCGGCGCAAGGUCGAGGCAAGGCACGACCAAGAGGGAACGGGGCCGCAACCGGGGCUAGCGGCGCCCAAGACNNNNNNNNNNNNNNNNNNNNNNNNNNNNNNNNNNNNNNNNNNNNNNNNNNNNNNNNNNNNNNNNNNNNNNNNNNNNNNNNNNNNNNNNNNNNNNNNNNNNNNNNNNNNNNNNNNNNNNNNNNNNNNNNNNNNNNNNNNNNNNNNNNNNNNNNNNNNNNNNNNNNNNNNNNNNNNNNNNNNNNNNNNNNNNNNNNNNNNNNNNNNNNNNNNNNNNNNNNNNNNNNNNNNNNNNNNNNNNNNNNNNNNNNNNNNNNNNNNNNNNNNNNNNNNNNNNNNNNNNNNNNNNNNNNNNNNNNNNNNNNNNNNNNNNNNNNNNNNNNNNNNNNNNNNNNNNNNNNNNNNNNNNNNNNNNNNNNNNNNNNNNNNNNNNNNNNNNNNNNNNNNNNNNNNNNNNNNNNNNNNNNNNNNNNNNNNNNNNNNNNNNNNNNNNNNNNGGGGGGGAGGGGCCAAGUGGGGAGGGGGAAUGGGCCAGGGGGAAUGGGCCAGGGGUUUUCCCUUCCCCCCUUUUUUUGUCUUUCCUUUUUCUUUUAUUAUUUCUCUUUUCUGUUUUUAGUUUACUUAAAAUGCCAAAGCAUUUUACCAAAAUUAGUGCACCCCACCAUAAUUAGGUUAGCUAUUUUAGACAACCCCCGAACAUUUUUAGUCUUUGUUUUGAAACCUUUUAUCUUUGCUUUUGUUUUGAUUUUGAAUUCGAACCGGUUUCGAACUAACGCGAGUUUAUCCACAGUAACCGAGGUGACGUGGCAACAUUAGUGGGGAUUACUGUAGCAUAAUUACCCGGGCGUCACAAUUCUCCUCCACUACAAGAAAUCUCGUCCCGAGAUUUAAGCGGUGGAGUAAGGGGCGAAGGUGUUGGUAGCGAAAAACCUAACGAGUCUUCUCGGUCUUGGCUUCCCUUUCGAAGAGGUUGAUCCCUUUCGUUGAUGUCUUCAUUUCACUGCUUCAAGUCACCAUGAUCAAUUUGUCAUCCUUUCUUCGGGAUCUCCAUCGUACUUACGAAUAGGUAAGGAGCAGCUCUACAACGAUAGGAUGUUACAAGGGAAAAUCUUCUGGGGGUUUCCCAAGUAUGAACAUAUGAGUAUCUCUCGAGUUGAACAAAUGAAACACAUCGAGAGCAAAGUAAGACGGUGCAAUAAGAAGUUUCAAGCGGAUAGGCAAUCGUUCAUUGCCUGAAACAGAGUGUGAAUGGGGUUCAGAGCAACAGGAAUAAGUAUUGUGUCCGAUACCAGAAUUGAUCACUAGGAAGGUGGCUCGCGAAUCACAUACGAAGUCAAGCUAUAGGAAUAACUUUGGCAACAGGGUGUAUAGGAGAGUCAGGUUUCGAUCCUGUGAAACUGUGGGUUAUGGGCCCACCAUGUGGUUCUUUUUUUUAAUAGGAGCAGUGACAUCUUGCACGGUCAUGAUAGCAAGGCAUGUCAGGGAGUACCAUGUCAGCUAUGUCGGCAACAACGUUGGUACCAAGGGCGAGGGACGAAGAGAACCAUUUUCCUGCUCGUUGAAACGAGGCGGACCAAUAGGCAAGGUUCCCGUCCAUCGGCGGUUACCGGAAUGUCAUCAACAAUAGUAACAAGGUCUUGCUGACCGAGUGGUACAUCGAGGUGUUUGCACAAGUAGUGGAUUAUUACUGCUUAUAUCAUAUAGAUCAUCGAAAAGGUUUAAACAAACCAAUGGAAGGAAAAUAUGAUCAUCAGAUUAAACAGAACAAUGGAAAGGAAAAUAUGUUUAAACACAGAUUUCGAGGGUAUAUCCUUCCCAAGGACAAGAAGAGCAAGAUAUCCAUGACAGGAUAUAAAGUAGAAAACCAUUUAGGUAAGGGGGGGAGGAAUAUCAUGAUAUUACUCAUACAACGGUGUUAGGAUAAUUGAUAAUUAAAAUAUAGCAUCGUGCUUCAAACGUGCCUGUUGAAAAUCGGAGUACCAUUGACAUGCUUCGAGAUAGCAGUGACAUGGUCUUCAGGUGAAGAUCAGACUUUGGAAACACGAAGGAUCCAUCAAGAAUAACUUGUAGAAUAAGUCUUACAAUUUCCUCAUGGAUGAAUGGAUAACCUUGCUGAAAAGGAAUCUAUAAUGAUAGGUCCUCCAGCCGNNNNNNNNNNGGAGUACCAUUGACAUGCUUCGAGAUAGCAGUGACAUGGUCUUCAGGUGAAGAUCAGACUUUGGAAACACGAAGGAUCCAUCAAGAAUAACUUGUAGAAUAAGUCUUACAAUUUCCUCAUGGAUGAAUGGAUAACCUUGCUGAAAAGGAAUCUAUAAUGAUAGGUCCUCCAGCCCGGGGGGGGGGGGUGCUAGGCAUGACAUCAUGUUACCGGGUCAUCAAAGGAUCAACGUCAUAACUCUUGGAAAGUUGUCCCAACCAUCAUAUCUGACCGAGAUUCAGAUCCGAUUGGUGUCAGGAUACCUGAGAUUCAGGAUGUCUGAGAAGAAAAGGUGCAACACAAAUCGUUGAAAUGGCAUUGCAAGCUUCUCGGGAAAUGAACUAUGGGAGCGGGUUUCUGAAGCAAUAGUUCACCAUUACACCAAGGAGAGGACAAGGAGGUGUCUGGUGAACUCAACGGCAAUUCACCGAGAUUCCCAAAAGAUGGAUUUCCACCAUUAAGUGAACAAUGGGAUAACAUUUGUUAGAUCAAAUGAUAUAAGGAAGUAUGCUCGAGGAAAACAUACACAAUUAAACACUGGUUGAAGGGUGCGCCCGAAGUACGGGUUAGGUUGCACGACCAAUGUUAGAAUGGUGAUUCAAUUAGCGAAGGACUUAGAAUGAACUAUCGCCCAUUCACUUCAAAGCAAUAGGGUUGCUAGAAGUUUUGAAUUCACACGUCAUAGCUCCAUUGUCGGUAUUCCGGUUGAAAACAAUACGGGGACCAAGGAAUGAACGAAGAUGGCAAGAAGUAUUAAGAUAUCAAGAAUUAUUAAGAGGUGGUGAAAUUCUCACCACAUUCUUGACAAAAAGUGAUGGUAAUACUUCCGAGGUAAGGAAGAUCAACUGCUAGGUAGCAGUGACCUCAAGGUUUACACAAAACGCGAACAAGUUGUGUUGAACGGAAGGCAAUAAAGUGGUCGAUGAGAACAGGAAUCAUCGAGGGGCAAGGAUGGUAUUACCCAUCAUGAAUUCAAUUGAAUUCCUGGAAGAGCUCAUAAGGUUGAUGAUGAUCACGACACAAUUGUCGAGAGAUUUCAUGCAGAUGUAGUCAAUCAGCGACGACAUCAAGUCAAAGGAAUGAUGAAGCAAGAGGUUAUUGGAACCACAGUUACGACACAAACUCGAACUCAAGCUUGUUGUUUAAGGUGAAAGGGUAUGACGAGGAAAAAUCGACGUAAGGUUAGUUCAUCGUCGAAAAUUGGUGCUCCGAGAAUAAGGACCAGGUAGCACCGUUAGAAUCGUCACGACAAUGAUAUAGCCAAACAGGCUAGGAAUGGCGUGAUCGGGUACAAACUCGUACUUAUAGAAGCUUACUGAAGAGUUGUUGAACCGUAGAGCGGGCUCGGUUCAGUUAUCGGUGUCUUUGAGUGUUCAAUAACUCAGAGCCCGCGAAAAAUUGGAAUCAGUGGGAAGGUAGCACUUGAUGAAGAACUCAUAAAAAGUUAUGCAGUUCCAUGAUAAUCUCGAGAUACCAGGGGGUAAUACUCGACACAAGAUCAAAGUAAAGGUUGGACUGGUGUAUUGAUCCAUAGAAGACAAUUGUUUUAACUUGUCCGAGAAAUGAGAUCAAAGAAGAACAAUCAUGGUCGGAACCACGGUUGCAAAAGGCCAGAUCCUAGAUAUAGGAUGAACUUAUACCAAAGGAAUAAUUUAUUUAAGAGAAGCUUUAAUGAUAAGAUCUACAUCGUGUCCAUGGGCAUGAACACAAGUUCAAGGUCGACUCCCACUUCUCCAAUGCAUAACCUUUCAUUCACUUCUCACGUUCGAUGAAGUUGCAGUGUUGAAAUUUUAUCUGGUGAAGCACCAGAAGAGUAUGACUCGUGAAAACUUUCGGGUUCACACGGUUUAGAGAAGGCAUAUGUUCAAUCCAUAGGGGCUUCUUAGAAACAUAUACCACAAGUUUCAAGAGUAAAUAACACAAGCCCGAAAGCAGAGCAUGGUUGGCCAAGCAGAGGAUACAACUUAACAAAGGCAUUAUGUAUCAGGGGAAGAACUCACAAGGUGAUCAAAUGUGAAGGACACUGUCGGAUAACAAUCCAAGAAAGGACUUGAUGGUCCACAAAGGAUCUGAUACGAGUAUCGGUACACAACUAGAGGAAGAAGAAUGCAAGGAGAUCAGAUUAUAGAAACAACUGACUAACUCAAUUGUCAAAUGCAAAGGAAUUAUGAUUUCCAAAUCAAGGGAUCAGAAGCAAUGCUCUGAUUAGGGGUGGAUAAGUUGAAUAGCCUUAGGGUACAAUCAAAGACAAUUGGAUUGGUCGAGAACCAGUUCCAGUUAAAAGAAUGGCAGCUUAGCCGGAAAAGUAAUUUAUAAGGAUCAAUGAUGAUUGCGUGUAUUCGCAAACAUAUUGAGUCAACAGACUCAAAAUGAUAAUGACAAGGAAUGUCAUUAAGACUACGAGACUUAUGGGAUUAACCAUAAUGCAAGCAAGCAAGAAUUUCAAGAGCCAAAGGCUCCAGAGGAUUUUCGGAAGAUCGAAUAUUAUUUUAAAGACUUUUGUGAAACACAUGAACAACUGGGGAUGAGCGGAUACUCAAUAAGUGCGAGAAUUAUCCAUAGGGGUAUUCAGGUGACAAAGAACAGCAAGGCGAUAAGCUCAAAGGAUUAUCGAAACAACGACGAGUGUUUCGAGGUAUCUGGUAAUAACAAGACCAACUGGGGAUGAAUGUACGAAUAACAACUGCAAGUAGUUAUCCACUAGGGUUGACGGUGGAAGGGGAAUUGCAAAUGCGAUGAACAUAAGUUCUCGGGUUAACAGCGAAGAGUAUCUUCAGGGUCUUCACGUGCCGCAGACGAUCAUCAUUAAUAAGGGGCUCUCCGGGUGAAAGUAUUUUCGAGAACCUAAAGUCAGAUUUUAGUAAAAAUCGUUUAACCCGAAUAGAAGAGAUGUCAGAGUCCCAGAGCAUAGGUCGAGGAAUAAAAGAUCCUACUACCACCCAAUGGCGACGUGGGCCCGUAAGGCACACAGCCAAGUUAGUAAAAGUUUUGCAAUGACUAGACUCAACUUCGGCCAAGGAGUUGGAAAGGGGGAUUCCUACAGGCAGUCGGCUCUGAUACCAACUUGUGACGCCCCCGAUUCAAUCGUACACUAAUCAUGCACGCAAAUGUGUACGAUCAAGACCAGAGACUCACGGGAAGAUAUCACAACACAACUCUACAAAUAAAAUAAGUCAUACAAGCAUCAUAAUACAAGCCAGGGGCCUCGAGGGCUCGAAUACAAGUGCUCGAUCAUAGACGAGUCAGCGGAAGCAACAAUAUCUGAGUACAGACAUAAGUUAAACAAGUUUGCCUUAAGAAGGCUAGCACAAACUGGGAUACAGAUCGAAAGAGGCGCAGGCCUCCUGCCUGGGAUCCUCCUAAACUACUCCAGGUCGUCAUCAGCGGGCAGCACGUAGUAGUAGGCACCUCCAGUGUAGUAGGGGUCGUCGUCGACGGUGGCGUCUGGCUCCUGGACUCCAGCAUCUGGUUGCGACAACCAGAAAGGAAGGAAAAGGGAAAAAAAAGGGGGGAGAAAGCAACCGUGAGUACUCAUCCAAAGUACUCGCAAGCAAGGAACUACACUACAUAUGCAUGGGUAUAUGUGUAAGGAGGCCAUAUCAGUGGACUGAACUGCAGAAUGCCAGAAUAAGAGGGGGAUAGCUAAUCCUGUCGAAGACUACGCUUCUGGCAGCCUCCGCCUUACAGCAUGUAGAAGAGGGUAGAUUGAAGUCCUCCAAGUAGCAUCUUCAAGUAGCAUCUCCAAGUAACAUCUCCAAGUAGCAUCGCAUAGCAUAAUCCUACCCGGCAAUCCUCUCCUCGUCGCCCUGCGGAAAAGCGAUCAUCGGGUUGUCUGUGGAACUUGGAAGGGUGUGUUUUAUUAAGUAUCCGGUUCUAGUUGUCAUAAGGUCAAGGUACAACUCCAAGUCGUCCUGUUACCGAAGAUCACGGCUAUUCGAAUAGAUUAACUUCCCUGCAGGGGUGCACCAACUUACCCAACACGCUUGAUCCCAUUUGGCCGGACACACUUUCCUGGGUCAUGCCCGGCCGUGGAAGAUCAACACGUCGCAACCCCACCUAGGCAAAACAGAGAGGCCAGCACGCCGGUCUAAACCUAAGCGCACAGGGGUCUGGGCCCAUCGCCCAUAGCACACCUGCACGUUGCGUACGCGGCCGAAAGCAGACCUAGCCUAGUGGCGUUCCAGUCCAAUUCGGCGCGCGCCGCUCCGUCGCUGACGUCUGAAGUGCUUCGGCUGAUACCACGACGUCGGGAUACCCAUAACUACUCCCACGUAGAUGGUUAGUGCGUAUAGGCUCAUAGCCGACUCAGAUCAAAUACCAAGAUCUCGUUAAGCGUGUUAAGUAUCCGCGAACGCCGAACAGGGCCAGGCCCACCUGUCUCCUAGGUGGUCUCAACCUGCCCUGUCGCUCCGCCACAAAGUAACAGUCGGGGGCCGUCGGGAACCCAGGCCCACCUCUACCGGGAUGGAGCCACCUGUCCUUUCAGCCCCCUCAUCAGAAUCACUUGCGGGUACUCAUCGAGCUGACCCGACUUUAGUCACCAUCUGUAUAGUAUGUAUGUAUGUAUAGUAUAUACCCAUGAUCACCUCCCGAGUGAUCACGACCCAAUAGUAUAGCGAGGCAGACUAACAAGAAUGUAGGGCCAAUGAUGAUAAACUAGCAUCCUAUACUAAGCAUUUAGGAUUGCAGGUAAGGUAUCAACAGAUGUAGCGACAAUGUCAGGCUAUGCAUCAGAAUAGGAUUAACGAAAGCAGUAACAUGCUACACUACUCUAAUGCAAGCAGUAUAGAGGAGAAUAGGCGAUAUCUGGUGAUCAAGGGGGGGGGGCUUGCCUGGUUGCUCUGGCAAGAGAGAGGGGUCGUCAACUUCGUAGUCGAACUGGGCAGCAACAGCGUCGGUCUCGUAGUCUACCGAAGAGAAGAGGGGGAAGAAACAAUAAAUACAGUGCAAACAUAAGCAAGGCGACGCAAGACAUGACAAAGAGCGGUGCUAGGUGUGUUCUAACGCAGUAUGGGGUGAUGCUGGCGAAGGGGGAAAUCGUCCGGGAAAGUAUUCCCGGUGUUCCGUGUUUUCGGGCAGAGGAGCCGGAGGGGGAAAGUUGCGAGUUUGAUAUGUUAGGGGUGUGUGGCGGACGAACGGGUUGCGUAUCCGGAUUCGUCUCGUCGUUCUGAGCAACUUUCAUGUUGAAAAUAUUUUAAUCCGAGUUACGGAUUCAAAGAUAUGAUUUUCUAAAGAUUUUAUUAAUUUCUGGAAUUUAAUUAAUUAUUUAAUCCAACAUUAUCCAGAAUAGUAAAUGAUGACGUCAGCAUGACAUCAGAGUGAUGUCAGCAGUCAACAGGGGUUGACUGAGUCAACCCUGACAUGUGGGUCCCGUUCGUCAUACUCUAUUAACUUAAUUAGCCUAAUCAAAGUUAAUUAACCUUAGUUAAUUAGGUUAAUUAGUGGUUAGGGUUAAUUAAACAGAAUUAAUUAGAUUAAUUAAAUACUUAAUUAAUUAAUUAAUUAAUUAACUAAUUAGUUAAUUAGUUUUAAUUCAUUUUCAUUUUAUUUUUAUUUUUGUUUUAAUAAAAACCGUUCUUUUUAGGGGGGUGGGGCCCCCAUGUCAUUGGCCCAGGGCCAAACGGGUGCGGGUCCAAUGGGCAGGCGGGCGACGGGCGCCCGUAGCCUGCCCGGGGCGGGGCGUGGCCGUGGCCACGGCGGGGUUGCCGCAGCGGGGCACCAGGAGCACCGGGGAGGCGUGGUCGUGGGCGCGGCGAGGGCGGUCGGCGCAGGNNNNNNNNNNNNNNNNNNNNNNNNNNNNNNNNNNNNNNNNNNNNNNNNNNNNNNNNNNNNNNNNNNNNNNNNNNNNNNNNNNNNNNNNNNNNNNNNNNNNNNNNNNNNNNNNNNNNNNNNNNNNNNNNNNNNNNNNNNNNNNNNNNNNNNNNNNNNNNNNNNNNNNNNNNNNNNNNNNNNNNNNNNNNNNNNNNNNNNNNNNNNNNNNNNNNNNNNNNNNNNNNNNNNNNNNNNNNNNNNNNNNNNNNNNNNNNNNNNNNNNNNNNNNNNNNNNNNNNNNNNNNNNNNNNNNNNNNNNNNNNNNNNNNNNNNNNNNNNNNNNNNNNNNNNNNNNNNNNNNNNNNNNNNNNNNNNNNNNNNNNNNNNNNNNNNNNNNNNNNNNNNNNNNNNNNNNNNNNNNNNNNNNNNNNNNNNNNNNNNNNNNNNNNNNNNNNNNNNNNNNNNNNNNNNNNNNNNNNNNNNNNNNNNNNNNNNNNNNNNNNNNNNNNNNNNNNNNNNNNNNNNNNNNNNNNNNNNNNNNNNNNNNNNNNNNNNNNNNNNNNNNNNNNNNNNNNNNNNNNNNNNNNNNNNNNNNNNNNNNNNNNNNNNNNNNNNNNNNNNNNNNNNNNNNNNNNNNNNNNNNNNNNNNNNNNNNNNNNNNNNNNNNNNNNNNNNNNNNNNNNNNNNNNNNNNNNNNNNNNNNNNNNNNNNNNNNNNNNNNNNNNNNNNNNNNNNNNNNNNNNNNNNNNNNNNNNNNNNNNNNNNNNNNNNNNNNNNNNNNNNNNNNNNNNNNNNNNNNNNNNNNNNNNNNNNNNNNNNNNNNNNNNNNNNNNNNNNNNNNNNNNNNNGGGGGGGAGGGGCCAAGUGGGGAGGGGGAAUGGGCCAGGGGGAAUGGGCCAGGGGUUUUCCCUUCCCCCCUUUUUUUGUCUUUCCUUUUUCUUUUAUUAUUUCUCUUUUCUGUUUUUAGUUUACUUAAAAUGCCAAAGCAUUUUACCAAAAUUAGUGCACCCCACCAUAAUUAGGUUAGCUAUUUUAGACAACCCCCGAACAUUUUUAGUCUUUGUUUUGAAACCUUUUAUCUUUGCUUUUGUUUUGAUUUUGAAUUCGAACCGGUUUCGAACUAACGCGAGUUUAUCCACAGUAACCGAGGUGACGUGGCAACAUUAGUGGGGAUUACUGUAGCAUAAUUACCCGGGCGUCACAGAAAGUGACCUACAAGAAAAAACGUGCUAACACCUUUUAGGGCCUGUUUGAUUCCAAUAAGUCACAUGACUCAUAAGUCAGGUGACUUAAAACCAAUGACUUAUAAGUCACGCCUGAUUGGUUGUCACGCGACUUAUAAGUCACCUGACCACACCUUUCCAUCUUGUUUUUUUAUAUAAAGAUGGUGGGACCCAUGCAAAAAGGGGUGACUUGUAAGUUUUAAGUUUGGAUGGAGCAACUUAUGACUUAUAAGUUGGGAUGACUUAUAAGUUGGAUCUGUUUGGCAAAAUAAGUCAUUUUUUUCACUUUUCGACUUAUAAGUUGGUGACUUAUUUGGAACCAAACAGGCCCUUAACUUAGACGUUGGCGCGAACCAACCUCUAGUUGGAUGAUUAGAGAGACUGUGAUAUCCCCAGCCCAGUAGGGUUCAAGUCUUGGUACUUGCGUCUGUAUUAUGUUAAAAAAAACUUGGGCCUUACCCUUCCAAAUCUGAAACGAUAUUAGGUGUGCUUGUAUGCGUUUAUAGAGGUGAGUGUAUGCGCGUGUAUACAAGCGCUUGCGUCUGUACUAUGUUAAAAAAAAUUAGGCCUUGGUCCUCCCAAAUCUGAAAUGAUAUUAAAUUAAAUUAAAGUUCACCGGCCUUAGCCCAGCCCAAAGCAGCAGAAGUCUCGAGCGCGGCGACUAGGGUUAGCCUCAUCGACCUCGCCGGCGGCGGCGGCGACUGGGUUACUCGUGGCGACGGUGGCUUGGGAUUCAUGGCGCACGUAGAGGAGGAGGAGGUCGUGGACAUGGAGCCCCUCUUCUUUAGUGAGGCGUACGUGGAGAAGAUGGUGGCGGAUGCGGAGGAGGAGGAAGAGAGGUGUCGGCGGGAGGAAGAGGAGAAGAUGCGGAAGGAGAAGGAGUACCGGCGGAGACGCGAGGCGCACGAAGCGGUCAUGGACUCCAUCAUCGAGCACGAUCCCAAGGUCGAGCGCGACGUCUACACCCGGUUCUUUCUCAGAGAUUUCUCCGUCUUUGACAUCGACGAGGAGUGUAAGUAGCCUCCAUCUUCAUUGUAUUUUUCUUGGCUAAUAGUGCUAAGUUUCUAAAUUUCUGAUGUAUGGUAACUGAAUUACGUUACAGUAGGAUGUCUCUCACCUGUAUAAUCGUCUAUUAGGAGAAUGCUCGACAAUGUUCAUUAUUGAUGGAUAGCAGUAAACGGGAGAUUGGAUCUUUUGCCCCACUUUACUUGGGCAUUAGAUGAUUUGCCCCAUUUUACAUAGGAUUAGAUCAUUUGCCUCACUUUUCAUUUUUCUUUUGAUGAUUUGCCCUUUUCAAUUACUGUAAUCAUUUUUUAUUUUGUAUCCCUUUUUUCUCCAUGUGAAAAGACACAAUUGCCCCUGUGGCUAAUUUACAAUUUGACACUGUACAAAUCUUUUUUCUUUACAAGCCUGUAUCCAACCGAAGCAACUAAUUAACAGGGAACAAAUCACAUUACUUUCUUUACAUGGCUUUAUCCAACGGAACCAACUACUAACAAAUCAUAGAUUGAUUUUGUUGUGUCGUGGUGUUCAUGGCUAGUGGAGAGGCGGAUCCACCGCCGGCCCCCAAGCCAUCAACUCCGACGACCCCUGCACAGCGAGGCUUCACACAGAUGACAACUGAGACGAUCCCACAGACUGCCGGACAGGAAGGCGACUGUUGCGUCCAUGGAUCACCACGAUCUGCUCCAGAUUGGUCAGUAUAUUAUCUCCCCUUCCUCCCACCCCACGCCAAACACACACACAGUGCCACACGGAUCCAGGGUUUGAACCUCUUGGCAUCUCCUCGCUAGGCAGCCCCUAACGCUGCUACACUUGUAGUAACCCUGCAACUGCAACAAUAUGAUGGAAACAUAAUUAUCAGGAUUCAGGAGUAUAAAGUUCUGAAAUUAUCCAAAUCUUUAAACCAUGUGGAUGAAUACUUCUACGAGGAUCAUGAAUCCAAUGACAUGGGCAUACACUUAGUUUUACUGGAAAAUGAAUAUUAAACAAUUUGUUAAUUGUUUCCUAACAUAACAAAAUGACAGUUAGAUGAUGCCCUUAUGUCCCCUCCAUAACUGAAAAUCUUUUGUUCUCCAAGUAGGUCUCGGCCGGUGGCUAGCAAUGAUACAUAUGUAUCAACUAUGGAAGGAAGUGUUGAUUGGUCCAAGAUUGAGAUAGCACCAAUGAAUGAUGAAGAAAUUGAUGUUCCUAUAACAGAAGAGAACAUGUGCUCGGUGCUUGGCAUCAAUGAUGAACCUGAGCAUCGGAAAAUUGUAUCUGAAGCAGCUAUGAAAGCCUCCAUUGCAGAUGUUGAUGCAUGUGUGGCUGAUAUUGAUGAGGAUUUACUUGCUGAUGCGGCUCUUCCUGUGCCUGACCAUAUGCCUGAAGAGGAUCACUUUUGGUAUGAUAAGGAACAUCCUGUGAUAGAGGAAGGAUCUUUGUUUCGUUCAAUGAACGAGAUUAGGAUGCUCAUGAGAACAUUUGCUAUUAGAGGCAAGUUUGACAUCAAGACCAAGGAUAGUGACACUACUAGAUUUGUGGGUCACUGUAAAGGAAAUGCAUGUCCUUGGAGAAUAACUGCUAGGACAAUAGAAGAUGGAAAAACAGUCAGGGUACAAACUUAUCUAACAUGAAUCAUCUUUUAUGUUAAAACUAUCUUUUAUAAAUUACUUGCAACUAAUGGUUGGUAUUGUGUUUUCUGCAGGUAAACAAGAUAGUAAAGCCUCAUAAGUGUUCAUCAACCGCUGCAGUGAUUACAAGCAUGGCAGACCAAGCAUGGGUGGCAGAAAAGGCAAUGGGGUAUCUUCAAACUGAACCAAACAUUGGUGCCAGCGAGCUCCGAAAAAAGCUACAGGCCGAAUACAAAUGUACUAUUGGGUAUCAUACUGUUGACAAGGGAAAAGAAAGGGCCAAGAAUAGUUUAUAUGGGACCUGGGGAAAAAGCUUUCAGUCAUUAUUGAAUUUCAAAGCUGAGAUUGAUAAAAGAUCUCCUGGUAGCAUUGUCGAGGUUGAUGUCAAGAGGGAAGGAGGUGAAGUGCAUUUCCGCAGAUUUUUUAUGGCACUUAAGCCGUGCAUUGAUGGCUUCUUGGCUGGUUGUAGACCAUAUGUCAGUAUAGACUCCACAUUUUUGACUGGAAAGUGGAAUGGUCAAUUAGCAGCAUGUACAGCACUAGAUGGACAAAAUUGGAUGUUUCCUUUAGCAUUUGGUUUCUUUGGUACGGAGACCGAGGGUAACUGGAUUUGGUUUAUGCAACAACUGCAUAGGGCAAUAGGACAUCUUCAAACUCUAGCUAUUUGUACUGAUGCAUGCAAAGGGUUAGAGAAUGCAGUUAAAAUUGUGUUUCCUCAAGCUGAGCAAAGGGAAUGCUUUAGGCAUCUAAUGGCAAACUUCAAAAAGAAGUUUCACGGAGAUGUUUUUGGUCGCAUGUGGCCAGCAGCCAAGGCUUAUCAUCUGGAAACAUUUAAUUAUCAUAUGGGCAAGAUAUUUGAAGCUGAACCUGCAGUGAGUACCUACUUGUGUACCUAUCAUAACUUAAAGUGGAUGAGAUGUGACUUCAACACAGAAAUAAAAUGUGAUUACAUUCACAACAAUCUAGCUGAGUGCUUCAAUAGCUGGAUCAAAGGAACAAAGGAGCUGCCCAUGGAUGAGCUAGCCGAUGCAAUAAGAGAGAAAAUUAUGAUACUUGUUUAUAGAAGGAGAAGGAUUGGGGAAAUGCUCCAGGGAGAGAUAUUGCCUGCUAUCAUUCAACAAAUAAAUAAUAGAACUAGGCAACUUGACCAUUUGGUUGUUGGAAGAUCAACCGGAGAAAGUUGUGAGGUCAAGGACACUAGCAAGAAUAAUCUUAGGCAUGUUGUGAAGAUAGGCAGCCGUGAGUGCACCUGCCUAGAAUGGCAACACACUGGAAAGCCAUGUGAGCAUGCACUUGCAUUCCUUAUAGAGACGGCAGAUGUGAACUUUCAACCAUAUGUACAUGAGUACUACUCCGUGAGUAGGUUUCGGGCUGCCUAUGCUGGAGAGAUUGAACCAAUCACGGACAAGUCUCAAUGGCCUCAUGUUAAUCUAGAUUUUGAGAUGGUGCCACCGGAUUUAAAGAGCUCCGUUGGGAGACGGAGGAAGCAGAGAAUCAAAAGUUGCCUUGAAGAUGGUGGUGGCAGCAAACGGAAGAAAAAAGAUGAUAAUGGCAAAACAAAUGACCAAGAAGGAGGUGACAAAGAGAAGGAAAAGGAAAAGAAGAGAUUUGGCAGCAGAAAUAGGUGCAAAGAAUGUGGGAUAUUGGGGCACAGGAAAGCAACUUGCAAAAAAAAUGAAGCUAAAGAGAGGUAAACCAUGCACUAAUAUCUCCUUUAUAUUAGUAUCAAAUUAGUACUAUUAUACCAUUUCUAACAUCCGGUGUGACUGAACUUUCUAGUGAUGUGUCUGCUCGCGAGCUCGCUCCAGUUGUUGUUGCGACACCUACACGCACAACAACAAUCACACUGCCUCCCAGCCUUCAUAACAGCCCUGGGCCUAUCACAAGGAGGUACCUAUUAUAUUUGUCAUAAGCACAUUUGAUUCAUGCAAAAGAAAAAUCCUACUUUUAUAACAUUGGUGUGUAAACAUGCAGGAGGCUUGCUAUGGCCAUAGCUGGAGACGAUGCAUCACAGCCAUGUGGGACAAGUACUGUUAAUUCUACAGCAUCACCUACUUCUCACUUCCCUUCACGCUCUACGGCAUGCAAGAAAAAAUUGACCCCGAAGAGGAAGAAGCUCUCAUUUUAGUGCAUUCAAUUCUAUUUUAAAUUCGUAGAGGUGUUGAAAUUUGUCAAUUUCAAAGAUAUUGGCUCGAAAAAAUACUUUUUUGCUUGAUGUAAAUUCGGAUUAAUUUAUCAUGUCGCUUGAACCAAGCAAACCUUUUUGUGGCAUCAGUUCGUGAUUUCAGUGUGAUAUAUUCUCUCAAUUCCAUGUGCUAAGUGAACAUAUGUUGUCAGUCUAUUUUUUUUCCUAUGAAGAUGUUAUAUGCUGCCAAUUUCCAACGAAAUGCAUAUGCCAGGAUGCACAUCAUAUAUAUAGAUCUCUGACCAGUGACUAAAGUAGAUCCAGCAAAAGAUGAAGCAUAUAUAUUUUGAGUGUGAUACAAUUAAAGUAUGAAGCAUCUGGAGGAGAUAACUAAACAAAGCAUUUUAUAUAAUGUACCCAGCUCCAUGAUUGAAGCAGUACCAGCUGCUAGGGUAAUUAGUACUAUCAACACUGUCGUCCAGCCAUAGCUAUUACCGACCAACGAGCUGACACACAUCAAAACUGUAAAUCCAUUAAUCAUUGGAAGAAGGUAGUUUUUACCAGCAACGAGCGCACCAUCUGCCGAGCUGCAGCUCGAGCCCUGGAAUCCGCCCGUUCGCCGAGCUGGAGCGGGAGCCGCCGCGGCGGGCCGCCGAGCUGCAACGGGAGCCGCCGUCCCGGGCCGAGGAGCUGCAGCGGGAGCCACGGAACCCGCUGGUCCGCCGAGCUGCGGCGUGAGCCCCGGGAAUCGCCGGUCCGCCGAGCUGCGGCCGGAGCCGCCGCCCCAGGCCGAGGAGCCGCAGCGGGAGCCCCGGGAGCCGCCGGCGCCGGCCGACCAUCUGCGGGAGCUGCCGCGCCGGGCUGCUGCUGCCAAGAUGGGGGCCAAGGUGCCGUGGUCGGCCUCCUCUGGUAUGAGUAAAGAAGAACAGAGGAAAUGCGUUGAACUGGGGAACAGUGAGCUCGUCGAUGCAACUUAGUGUCAGUCCAACAGCGGUGUCAAAUUGUAAAUUAGCCACAGUGGCAAUUGUGUCUUUUCGCAUGGAGAAAAAAGGGAUACAAAAUAAAAAAUGAUUACAGUAAUUGAAAAGGGCAAAUCAUCAAAAGAAAAAUGAAAAGUGGGGCAAAUGAUCUAAUCCUAUGUAAAAUGGGGCAAAUCAUCUAAUGCCCAAGUAAAGUGGGGCAAAAGAUCCAAUCUCCCGCAGCAGUAAACAGCCAGUCUGAAUUUAUUUAUAUGGGUCAUAUGUAUAUCACUUAUAACGACAUAAAUCGCGGAUUUGACUAAUAUCUUUCUAAAUUUCUGAUGUAUGGGAACAGUAGGAUGUCUCUCACAUGUACAAUCGUCUAUUAGGAGAUUCCUCUGACAUGCCAUGUUCAUUAUUGAUGACUAGCAGUGAACAGCGAAUCUGAAUUCAUUUAUUUGGCUCAUAUGUACUCCGUAUCACUUGACAACAGGAAACACGGAUUUUGCUGAAACUGAAAUUAACUUGGUACAAAUGGUGAGAUGAUAGCUUUCUCUUGAAGUUAACUCAGUAAGUGAAAUCCGGAUAUUAGAUGGUUUAACUCGGUGGGAUAGAAAUGGGGAAAACACAAACUGGGGCUGUUUAUUGUGAUGAAAUAAUUUGAUAGAUUUAUAUUUUACUUAUUUAUUGCAGCGUCUGUCCCUCCAAUGCGAUACUCUGAUAGUACCUACGAAGAUGAAUUUGGGCUAGAAGACUCUGCAAACAUCCUCUCUGUCAGCAUAGUCUCCUCAGAUGUAGGCUUCCCAGUCAAUGUCUAUGGCCGUGUCAUUGCCAGAGACAGCAUUGACUACAAGUGCAUUUAUCUCUUUCACCGCAAUAGAGAUGAUUGCCAGCGUCUCAACAAGGUACAUCCUUGCUUCUAAGUUUGUUCUAAUCGGGUUUCAUUUUAUUUGAAGAUGCCUUUAACAUCUAAAUGGGCUCAUCUUAGUGCUGGUGGUUGUCGAUUCAGAUAGUCAUUUGCAUAUAAAUGGGGAAGCUUUUAUGGCAUGCUUUCAAUCUUCAUUUUGAGCAGUGUUUGGAUGAGCAUACUCUAAUCUCUCAUGCAAUUCUUUUCAUAGGAUGGAAUGCUGAUUUUAACUGGCCCAAGUCGAGGUCUAGUGCUGGUUGAUUUCAUCUAUCUAGAGAUAGAUCUUAAAAUCAGGGAAGAUGGAGUGUCUCCAGACAGGCCAUUUAGCAAGGGUCUAAUAAGUAUUGAUGGCCGAGUACUGUCUAGAGAGGAAGAUGUCGUGGUUAGAAGUGAAACCCUUGAGAGCUGGCUCAGCACUACGGAAGUGAGAUUCGCAACUGUUCUCAACGCAGUUGAGUGCACCAUUGAAAUCAAGCUUCUUGAGGGCCGUUUCAAAGGAAAUAUAAUAGUUGGCAUCUCAGAUAAAGUUCGCAAUCUGGACACUGAACAAACAAUUGUGAUUCAUGAUAGCAAGACAGAUGGCAUGGUGACAAGUGAUCAAAUUGGAGUUAUCAAACUCCGGCGAAGUGUCAUUACUAUCUGUCUAGAAAGAAUGCUGGUGUUUCACAUGAAUAAUAAUAUGGCUGCUGGUAUUUGUGGUGAACGAACCUUUGAUUUAACUCCACGCCGCACUGGUGCAGAUGAAUUGGAAAUUACGUGUGGUGCUGGGAAGUUCGGAUUCAGGGUCGUCUGGUCCUUGAUGGACUUUAGGCUGUAAUCAUGUGCCUUUAUAUACUAAGUUGAACUAAGUUAUAUCGCGAGUCAGUGAUGUAAUGGAUAAGUAGAUGUAGUGAACUGGGUUAUAUCGUGGUGUAAUGAUGCAGUGAACUAAGUUAAUUGUGGUGCAAUGAUGUAGUGAACUAAGUUAAUCGUGAUGUAAUGGUGUGGUGCACUAAGUUAUAUUAUUGUUAUUA